rnacentral:rRNA from 1 species
CAAAGAUUAAGCCAUGCAUGUCUAAGUAUAAGCAACUAUACGGUGAAACUGCGAAUGGCUCAUUAAAUCAGUUAUCGUUUAUUUGAUAGUACUUCACUACAUGGACAACUGUGGUAAUUCUAGAGCUAAUACAUGCUAAAAACCCCGACUUCGGAAGGGGUGUAUUUAUUAGAUAAAAAACCAAUGCCCUCCGGGGCUCCUUGGUGAAUCAUAAUAACUUAACGAAUCGCAUGGCCUUGUGCCGGCGAUGGUUCAUUCAAAUUUCUGCCCUAUCAACUUUCGAUGGUAGGAUAGUGGCCUACCAUGGUUUCAACGGGUAACGGGGAAUUAGGGUUCGACUCCGGAGAGGGAGCCUGAGAAACGGCUACCACAUCCAAGGAAGGCAGCAGGCGCGCAAAUUACCCAAUCCCGACACGGGGAGGUAGUGACAAUAAAUACUGAUACAGGGCUCUUUCGGGUCUUGUAAUUGGAAUGAGUACAAUUUAAAUCCCUUAACGAGGAACAAUUGGAGGCAG